rnacentral:lncRNA from 1 species
CUUAGCCUCCCUUCUCAUUGCUUUGGCUCCUGGGAACAGUUUCAUCUUCCUCCCAGAGUGGCUUCAGUGCAUAACUCCAGAGGACUUGUUUAUGUUGUAGCCCAUGUAAAUGGUGCACCAAGAGUUGUGCAGCGCACAGACUGAACAACAUUGUGUAGAGGCCCUACCUCUACCUUAUUAAGAGAAGGGCAUCAUCGCCCCCAACACGCAUCCCACGUGGUUUUUGUGGAGCUGCCAAUCAUAAGACUUCACUCCCUGGCCUAAGAGUGGACUUGCUAUAUAGGCUGCCCACUCCAAAGUAAACCAUCCUUUUGAUCAUAAUGAUUGGUCCAGGGAUGAGUACAUAACAAGUCACUCAGAAAAUUUUCCCUGGAAAUCUUCAAAAUGAAGCUGAGAAUAUAUACUCUCUUUUGGAAAAAAUGACUGGGAUGAUAUAAGCCCAAGCUGCUGGCAGGUAGGUUUUCUAUCAGUGGAAAAAGCCCAUCUGUUAUAGGAGAGAAUGAAGUCAAG